GAUGAACGCUGGCGGCGUGCCUAAUACAUGCAAGUCGAGCGAACAGACGAGGAGCUUGCUCCUCUGACGUUAGCGGCGGACGGGUGAGUAACACGUGGAUAACCUACCUAUAAGACUGGGAUAACUUCGGGAAACCGGAGCUAAUACCGGAUAAUAUAUUGAACCGCAUGGUUCAAUAGUGAAAGACGGUUUUGCUGUCACUUAUAGAUGGAUCCGCGCCGCAUUAGCUAGUUGGUAAGGUAACGGCUUACCAAGGCGACGAUGCGUAGCCGACCUGAGAGGGUGAUCGGCCACACUGGAACUGAGACACGGUCCAGACUCCUACGGGGGGCAGCAGUAGGGAAUCUUCCGCAAUGGGCGAAAGCCUGACGGAGCAACGCCGCGUGAGUGAUGAAGGUCUUCGGAUCGUAAAACUCUGUUAUUAGGGAAGAACAAAUGUGUAAGUAACUAUGCACGUCUUGACGGUACCUAAUCAGAAAGCCACGGCUAACUACGU
rnacentral:rRNA from 1 species